GAUGAACGCUGGCGGCGUGCUUAAUACAUGCAAGUCGAACGAAGAGCCUUUGUAGCAAUACGGAGGCUUCUUAGUGGCGAACGGGUGCGUAACGCGUUGGUGACCUGCCCCAAAGUGUGGGAUAACAGUUCGAAAGGACUGCUAAUACCGCAUGUGAUCUUCAGUUCUAGAAUCUGAUGAUUAAAGCAGUAAUGCGCUUUGGGAGGGACCUGCGUCCCAUCAGCUAGUUGGUGAGGUAAUGGCCCACCAAGGCUACGACGGGUAGGGAACCUGAGAGGGUGGCUCCCCACAAUGGAACUGAAACACGGUCCAUACACCUACGGGAGCUG
rnacentral:rRNA from 1 species